CUACGGAGGGGGCAAGCGUUGUUCGGAAUUACUGGGCGUAAAGAGUACGUAGGCGGAUCGUUAAGUUAGAGGUGAAAUCCCAGGGCUCAACCCUGGAACUGCUUUUAAUACUGGCGAUCUAGAGAUCGAGAGAGGUGAGUGGAAUUUCCAGUGUAGAGGUGAAAUUCGUAGAUAUUGGAAAGGACACCAGUGGCGAAGGCGGCUCACUGGCUCGAUACUGACGCUGAGGUACGAAAGCGUGGGGAGCAAACAGGAUUAGAAACCCCAGUAGUCC
rnacentral:rRNA from 1 species